GAUUUUUAUUAUAACAACAUGUUUUUAUGUCUUAUUUUCACUCCAUAAUCAGAAGUUUAAUUACAUUGUCAUAUUUUUGUUUGCAAAACUUAAAAUUUGUUUUCACAUAUGGAUAACAGCAUAUCCCUGAAUCUAAUGUGAAAGCAAAGUAUAAAGUUUUACUUUCAAAAUUAUUAAGUUCCAAUCUUUGAUGCGUGAAUUUUUUGCCUCCUUUUACUCCAGCAGGAGAAUUUGAAAAAUGAUAUUAUUACCAAAUGGCUUUGUUGUUUUUUAGUUAUAAUAAUCCAGAUCUAUGAUGUCAGAGUAAUACUAACGAAGAAUGAAUUCAAAAUUUAUUACAGUAAAUUGCAUAAACAUGAAAAUGUUUUUUUCAGCUGAGUUGGUGAAAGAAAAUAUACAUUAUUUUCUCCAUCAAAGCCCACUUCCAUUUUCAGCAGAAUCCUUGCACCGACGUGUCUCUCUCUUCCUGCUGACCCGUGCCGGGGGGCCGACUGCGGGACGGUGGUCUCCGGCACGGUGCGAGUCCCUCCCCGUUGUUCUGACGUAGUUACUGAUCCCCGUUCUCUUGACAGAGCACCUCGUCGGGAUGACGACCUGUAGAGUCACCUGGUCGCACGCAGGUCUGACCACCUGUGGGACUUCGCGCCGGGGAAUUGCGUUCUCCUGUGCCCGGGGUCCGCCUUUCAGAGUGAAGGGGCUGAGGGAGGUGAGCCCUCACCCCCCGCCUGUGGAGGGAGCGCGGCUGGUCUGAUGCGGGAUGUUUCUUACACUUUCCUGGCACGCAGGAGGGCGAACUCGCUCGCAGAGAGACUCCCAGAAAGGCUCCACUGAGACGGCUUCUUGAGAGGAAACAGAGGUCCAGACGCUGGGCUGCGACCUUUGCUGCGCUGCGACCUUUGCUGUGCGACCUUUGCUGUGCGACCUUUGCUGUGUGCCUGGCCUGGCGGACUCGGCUCCUCAGCAGACAGCCGUGUCCUGCAGGGCUCGUCACACUAACGAAGCUUCGCCGUCGUAACCUGGGGAAGGAGGGAGACAGCUGGGGAAAGGCAGGGGAGGCGAUCAGAAGUGCGGGUCCCGGAUGGCGGGGUGCGGGGCGCUGGCGACUUCUCAGGAAUAUUACGGGGGAAGCCCGCCAGCCGCCAGGGGCACCUCAUUCUUCCCAGGAACCAGUGUGAUUCGUCCCCAGCCAACAGCUCAGAUGCUGACCUUUUGACCUGGACACAGACAACGCUGGUGUCGAACUGCAGCCGCACACGCACGAUUCUCUCCACGGCUCCCAGGCGCUGGCCGAUGCCAGUCUUCGGGGAGCGCGGCUCUGCGCCACCCGCUGGCGCUCCGCACGGCACUGGAGCGCACUCCGGGAGGGCAGGAGGAAGUUUAUUGAUUUUGAGACGGUUUUUCUGGAAGACCUGGAUGCUGGCCGACCCGGAGGACAGACCCGCUGGCUCCUGUUUCUGGCCCACAGGGCGGCUCCCCUGGAGAGCCAGGAGGCCUGGGGCCACCUGGGGCUCCGCCACCUGCUGGUGCACCUGAGCAGGGAGUGGAGGGGGGGACUGCAGCAGCCUUGGGCUUUUAUGGGGAUGGUGAGGGCAGCGUGGGGGGGGGCUUUCCCUGCCUCUGAAGAGCUCUCUCCCCCUCCCUCCCUGAAGCCCCCGUCUCAGCUCCGAGGCCGGGGAGCGUGGGCCGCACUUCCCUGACCGCCUCCCAGAACGCACUUCGCCUCCGCAGCCUCUCUGGGGAGCCCGUCGGAACUUUGCUAAGGUCGUGGGGUUCACAGUCCAGGUGAGCAGACCGGUACUGGUUCUCCUCCUUAAAGCACAGCCCACUAGGGUCCAGGAGGGCCCUCAGGGUCAGUGGCGGGCCGCCGCCUCCGGGUGUGGUGAAAGAGCCACAUCAAGUGGGUUGGCCGCGCCCCGUUCCUGCGAGCCGAGACAAGGCUCGGGGGCGGGGCCGCCUUCACAGGCCCGGCCUCGUUCUGGGGCACGGACUCUGGGCCGCGUGGGAGUGCACGGCUCACACCGCAGACACCCGGCAAUGUGGGUGUGCGGCCGCACUCGUUUCCUACUGCGGCUGAAACAAGUCACCACAACCUCGGUGACUCAGAACGGCGCACAUGCACCAGCUCACGUUUCUGGAGGCCAGAAGCAUACGGGAGUCCGCAGAAACGGGUUCCGUCUGCGGGCCAGUGGGGAAGGGCUCCCGCCGGCCUUCUCUGCUCCAACGGCUGCCCACACGUGCGGUCGCUUCCUCCGCCAUUAAAGCCACAGACGAGCAUCCUUCCAGAACAGGUCUCAACCACGGGGUGCCAGUAUCACAACAUCGGGAAGCAUAUUGAGAAACAUCAUGCUCUUCAAGCACAGAGAGUCGUUGACCGCAGUGUUCAUAGGCAUUUCCUGCGCUGGGGAACCAAGCUGAACUCAAAGUCACAUUGUGAGUCGAGGGGCUGCUCCGCGGGCAGGCGGAGGGAGUGUCAGAGGGGCCCAUCGGAGCCUGGAGGCCCGGGUGCCCGAGGAGGAGCCCGGGUGGCUGAGGCGGAGACACUGUGAGGCUGACAGUGGAGUCCACGAAGGGACCAGCUUGAGGCAGGGGACAGACUGCCCACGGAGUGCAGCCGGACGGCCACGGGACAGUGCCAGGUCCACAGAGCCACGGGCAGGCAGAGUGAGACGGUGGGGCACCCAAGUCAACCAAGCCAGUCCCAAAGCGGCAGGCGAGUGAGGGGAGGCGUGGUGCGGAGGUUCAGGGAGUGCAGGCCCAGGAAAGUCCCAGGGGGUGGUCCGGGCCCCCCUGGCCAUCGGCAGCCACAUGCUGGCCAACGUCGGCCGCCCGCCCAAGAGUCGCCACGUGGGGACGAACGCGUCGAGUCCGAGAACGUCCCGUCACCCGGGUGGGGCCCCCGAGGCCCAAGGCUGCCAGUGACGAGGGAACGGUGAGCCAGAAUUGUAACCGUGACUGCAACCGGACCUUGCGGAUCCUGGGGGACCCAAACCGGAAAACAGCAAUUAACAUUCUUCGUGUGAUGCCAAAACACUUUGGAAGUUCUCCUGUUGUUUAAUGCUGUUGACAUCUGUCGCGUCCUAGACAAGGCACCCCGCCUCCUAUUAGUGGUGAUAACAGUUUCCUCAGGAAGCCAAAUGAUUUACUUUAUGCUUUCGUUAAUUAUAGAGAAGGAAACUCAAACUCCUCAGGUUAUUUCCCACACGUACACGAUAAAGACCCAUGAACACCUGACUGCAAGCAAAUAUCACAUCCUCGGAGACAGAAAUCGACAGUUGCGUGAAAAAAAAUAAUUUGAAAAUAUUUACAAAGUCUGACUUCACAUAAUCAUUGAACAUGCAUGCACGUUAGACUAUUUCCUAUUCCUAAAUAAAAUCUCCAGGAUGUUG